UGAUGUAAUAAGGGAUUUUUUUUUGGGGGGGGGAAAUUACAGCCAGUUUUGUUGUCUGGGCUGUCUCUAAUGGGACAUGCUGGCAGUGUUUGUUAAGAAUAAUGGAAAUUACUAGGUAGCUUUAGCAAAUAUGAAAAGGGAGAAGUUCAUAUAUUGUGACUAGAACAAAUAUGGAGAAUAACAAAGGGACAAUUUCAUAUUAUGAGAAUGGUGUAAUUUAUCAUCAUAUCAGGAGAUAUUAGGCUGAGGCAUGUUCUUUUGGUUGGCUAAGAGUUGCUCUAUAUUUGCUGCUGAGUUGAUGGAUUGCAAAAGGUGACCCCAUGCUUUGUAGGUUAUUUUUGGAUGUUGGAUUACAUCUUAGCACGUGCUUAAUAAAUUAAGAACUAGUAUUAGUGAAAACCAUAGGUAAUUAGGAUUUAUCAAGAGCAUAGCGGUUUACGUUUCCUGCAUUGAAAUCUAUGUAUGAUAGUUUAAUUUUGGCACAUGUUUGAUUGGUAAAUAGGAACAAAUUUAGAAUUUGUGCAACAUUAGGAAAUAUGUAGUCUGCUCUCUUUUUAUUCUGCCUAGAUAACUUUGAUCACUCCCACCUAGUGAUCUUUUAGAUUUCCCCUUAGAUUCUUUUGUAGUAUUCUGAAGAAUAGCUGCUUCCAAUUCUUUACUCUCUGGGAGAUAUGGAAGUAACCCAACCGUAGUUUAGUCACUUUAUGAGUAUUUAGUUUAAUGUUUGUACCUGUAUAAGUGGGACCCAAACUCAAGGUUGAUAUCUAUUGGGAGAUCGCGUGUGAAGGCAACCUUAGCUUGUAUAACAAGUGCUUGUUUCCCUUGUGUUAUGAAGAUUAAGUCAAUAGCUUGCGUCUUCUCUUAAUGCAAUUUCAAUAAGUUUGUUAAAGAGUAUUGUGAGCUUUACAGGGUUCUUAUUCAGGGGAUGCCUUGAUUAGAAUCAAUCUCUUCGUUAGACCCCAUUGAUGUGCUUCACUUACUAGUUUUAUUUUGAUUUUUCAAUUGAAGAAAAUCUCAUGUACUUGAAAUUGUGGCAUCAUUGCAGUUUU
rnacentral:misc_RNA from 1 species